GACGAACGCUGGCGGCGUGCUUAACACAUGCAAGUCGAACGGAAAGGCCCUGCUUUUGUGGGGUGCUCGAGUGGCGAACGGGUGAGUAACACGUGAGUAACCUGCCCUUGACUUUGGGAUAACUUCAGGAAACUGGGGCUAAUACCGGAUAGGAGCUCCUGCUGCAUGGUGGGGGUUGGAAAGUUUCGGCGGUUGGGGAUGGACUCGCGGCUUAUCAGCUUGUUGGUGGGGUAGUGGCUUACCAAGGCUUUGACGGGUAGCCGGCCUGAGCGGGUGACCGGCCACAUUGGGACUGCGAUACGGCCCAGACUCCUACGGGAGGCAGCAGUGGGGAAUAUUGCACAAUGGGCGGAAGCCUGAUGCAGCAACGCCGCGUGCGUGAUGACGGCCUUCGGGUUGUAAACCGCUUUCGCCUGUGACGAAGCGUGAGUGACGGUAAUGGGUAAAGAAGCACCGGCUAACUACGUG
rnacentral:rRNA from 1 species